rnacentral:rRNA from 1 species
UACGAAGGGGGCUAGCGUUGCUCGGAAUCACUGGGCGUAAAGCGCACGUAGGCGGAUUGCUAAGUCAGGGGUGAAAUCCUGGAGCUCAACGUCCAGAACUGCCUUUGAUACUGGCGAUCUCGAGUCCGGGAGAGGUGAGUGGAACUGCGAGUGUAGAGGUGAAAUUCGUAGAUAUUCGCAAGAACACCAGUGGCGAAGGCGGCUCACUGGCCCGGUACUGACGCUGAGGUGGCGAAAGCGUGGGAGCAAACAGG